rnacentral:rRNA from 1 species
ACCAGCAGCCAUUUCGCUCUGCAACCCCCUGAAGCUAAGCAGGUGUGAGCCUGGUUUGUACCUGGAUGGGAGACCUCCUGGGAAAAAACUAAGGUUGCUGCUGGAA